CGGGAGGCCCUGUCUGAACCCUCUGUCAUUGUCGCACCUCGCGUUUCCUCGGCGGGCUCGCCCGCCAACGAGGACCCCAAACCAAACCCAUCGCAGUAUCUGCAGUACACGUCUCACAAACAAUUAUCAAAACUUUCAACAACGGAUCUCUUGGUUCUGGCAUCGAUGAAGAACGCAGCGAAAUGCGAUAAGUAGUGUGAAUUGCAGACUUCAGUGAAUCAUCGAAUCUUUGAACGCACAUUGCGCCCUUUGGUAUUCCUUAGGGCAUGCCUGUUCGAGCGUCAUCUAACCCCUCAAGCAACGCUUGGUGUUGGGCGCCUGUCCCGCCUCCGCGCGCGGACUCGCCCCGAAGACAUUGGCGGCCUGUGUAUUGGCCACGAGCGCAGCAGACCCGCGGCUCGUGCCCUCUCGCGCGGGCGCUCCACGAAGCGACC
rnacentral:rRNA from 1 species